UACUACGUUACACCAUCGCUGUUAAAGCCACAAUUGUCUUGUUGCGCCCAAUUACUGCGCAAACCUACCUUUUGGGGGGAAUUUCUGCACCCUGCCGUACGGCUGCCGUACCAGCGAUGAUGAUUUUCUGCAACGGGUACAACGGAAGGACCCGCUGUACCAGCGGCGUUUGCCGACCCCUGGUGUGGACUGUACACUUAUGGCUGCUUGCAAAACAAAUUGCGGGUGCGAGGCGAAGUGCACUCUUGCGUACGGCUUGCACCUUGCAAAGUCGCAGGUCGCGAGAAAUCGCCCAUCUUUACAUGCGAGCGCAUACGUGAUUUCGUUUUCCGCACUUGUCAUAUCCGACACGUAAGUGUAAAUGCAUUGGAGUGGCAUGCGGCAUAUAUGGCUUCGUCUGCGUCAGGAACGCCUGGCCCAUGGCCACACACAAAAGGAAAUGCCGAAUCUUCUUUUCGGCCUAGUAUAGAAAUGCCUUCGCCUGUCAAGGAGAGGUCUCAGUGGUAUCCUUGUUGUCGCCCGCUCCUGCUUCACUGUAGGCUUCUUCUCAAGCACGCACGCUGGGCCCUAUGCCCAACGGUGUCGCGAUAUAGUUGACAAUAAUCAGUCAGCUCUCGAGUGGUAAAUCUGUGUAC
rnacentral:lncRNA from 1 species